rnacentral:rRNA from 1 species
AUGGCUGCACUCAUUCGUGGAGCUCGGGCUGGGCGCGGCGGCCCAGGCCGCGCUCAGGGACGGCAGAGGGGGCGCGUCGUCGACGACGUGCCUGCACAGGUUAUUGGUCCUUUAGGCAACCAGUGGUUGUACUGGCAGGGCGGAAAUGCGAAUGUCUCCAGGGAGCCAACCAAGGCUGAGAUCAAGGAGCAGCUCAUGUUCCAAAGGCUGGAGUCCUCUCCCAAAGUUGCUCCUGAGGAGCUCUUGAUUUAUGCUGUCACAGAUGCUCUUGCCCGUCAGCCUCAACCCAUUGUUGAUAUGCUGAACGCGAUUGUGGUCAGAUACAAUAGAAUGGGAGAUAUGCGGCGCCAAUACUUGUUUAAGAAGAUCGAAGGUUUUCAAGGAAAAGAGAUGUUUCAGAUGUUGAAGAAAUUACAGGAGGACAAGGAAGAAGUUGAAGGUAGAAUAGAAGAUGUAAGAAGCGCUGGAGGCUUCUGCCCCCCAUUACCUUGA